CUGGGGUCCUACUUUAGUCCGGAAAAACUUUGCCUGAAAAAAAGGGAGGAAUUUGCACGUGGGAAACUGCGAUGCGGAAUCGGGGAGGAAAUCACUCUUUUGGAGGGGAUCCCAGACUGAAACAGCGAGUUAAACAGUAUCUAAGCAGUAAUAAAUGUGGCCAGUAUGUUAACACUGAAAUUCUAGCAGCAGAACUACAGAAAAUAUAUAGUGCUGAUUAUGGACGAAGAAAAAGAAAUGCCUUUAGAAUACAGGUUGAGAAAGUUAUUGGGAUAAUCAAAGAUGAGGUAAAAUCUACAGAUUUAGCCAUUCUAGAAGAUGAAUAUUUAACAAAGAAAGCAAAAAGGGAUGAAAAUGAUUCAGAGACCAGCAUGGAUACUUCUGAUACCGAUACUGAACAUCCUCAUUCAAAUCACAUGAAUACCUCUUUGUUAACCUUAUAUCGGGAAAGAAAUCCGGAUUCUUUGCCUUCAUCUCCUAAAAAUGAUUUAAUGAUGUCUAUCACUCCUUCACAAUCAAUGUCUAGAUCAGAUAUUAUUGCCUCUCCUCAAGCUCCAUCAGUGACUAAAAUUUCAGAAGGUGGAUGGUUUAUUGAUAAGACCCCAGGCCCAAAGGAGGAAAACUUUUUAAUUGAUCUUUGUGCAGAAGAAGAAUGUGAUAACAUUAAGCAGAAAGCUGAGAAUGCAGGAAACAUUUCUAUUUUGGAGACCGUGAGAAAGAAGUCCAAGAAUAAAAAAUAUAAACGGAGAAAAGUUGAAUUUCCUAACGUAGAUGAAGAAAUAGAGUCAGUUUUGAAGCAACAGAAAGUUAAAUCAAGAGAAAUAGAGCUGCAAACUUCCUCAGUGACAUUUGAGGAUAUAGGAGGCAAUGAUGAGAUUUUGAAGGAGAUAUGUAAGAUGUUGAUACAUAUCCGCCAUCCUGAAGUGUACACUCAUUUAGGAGUUGUUCCUCCUCGAGGAUUUCUUUUGCACGGACCACCAGGGUGUGGGAAGACGUUACUAGCGCAAGCAAUUGCUGGGGAACUUGAACUACCAAUACUCAAAGUGGCUGCAACUGAGAUUGUUUCUGGAGUGUCUGGUGAUUCUGAACAGAAAUUAAGGGAGCUCUUUGAUCAAGCUGUUACCAAUGCACCAUGCAUCCUCUUCAUAGAUGAAAUUGAUGCUAUCACACCAAAAAGAGAAAUAGCUUCAAAGGACAUGGAGCGGAGAAUUGUAGCCCAGCUUCUGACUUGCAUGGAUGACUUGAAUACAUUGACCACAGCAGCUCAGGUCCUUGUAAUUGGAGCAACCAACAGGCCAGAUUCACUGGAUCCAGCCCUGAGACGUGCGGGAAGAUUUGACCGAGAAAUUUGUUUGGGGAUUCCAGAUGAAACAGCAAGAGAAAAAAUUCUGAAGACAUUGUGUCGAAAGCUUCGACUUCAAGAAUCCUUUGAUUUUGGACAUUUGGCUCAUAUGACACCAGGCUACGUUGGGGCUGACCUUAUGGCCCUUUGCCGUGAGGCGGCAAUGUGCACAGUUAACAGAGUCCUUGUUAAACUGAAUGGGAAGAAAUGUGAAGUUACGAAAAAUGAAGAAGUAGCAUCUGGACAAGACAUGCAAAGGAGAACAGAACAAAAUGUGAAAAAAGAUACCGAAGAACAAGAUCUUCCUACUAAAAAUGAAUUGCAAAGAUUGCUCCAGUUGCUGAAGGAACCAGAUCCCCUGGGGGAGGCUCAGCUGCAGAAGCUGUGCAUUGAGCUGAAGGAUUUCACUCUUGCUCUCUCUUCAGUGCAACCCUCUGCAAAGAGAGAAGGCUUUGUCACCGUUCCUGAUGUGACCUGGGCAGAUAUUGGAGCCCUGGAAGAGGUUCGGGAGGAGCUGACCAUGGCUAUAUUGGCACCUGUGAGGAAUCCUGAACAAUUCCGAGCCCUUGGACUUCUAGCUCCAGCUGGGGUGCUGCUUGCUGGUCCUCCUGGAUGUGGCAAAACAUUGCUUGCAAAGGCUGUAGCAAAUGAAUCUGGAUUGAACUUUAUUUCAGUGAAAGGCCCUGAACUAUUGAAUAUGUACGUGGGGGAAAGUGAACGUGCUGUCCGUCAGGUUUUCCAGCGUGCAAGAAAUUCAGCACCUUGUGUCAUAUUCUUUGAUGAAGUGGAUGCUUUAUGCCCUCGGAGAUCCGACCGUGAAUCAGGCGCCAGUGUCCGUGUAGUGAACCAAUUGCUUACUGAGAUGGAUGGACUGGAAUCACGUCGUCAAGUUUUCAUUAUGGCAGCCACAAAUAGACCAGAUAUUAUAGACCCAGCUAUUUUGCGUCCAGGAAGAUUGGAUAAAACACUUUAUGUUGGCUUGCCACCACCUUCAGAUCGCCUUGCGAUUUUAAAGACUAUUACUAAAAUUUUCAUUAUGCAACUUCCAACACAUAUGGAGAAAGGCCAACAGACUCUUCAUAAAUUACGGCAUUGCCUAUUGAAUGAUGGAACUCUACCCCCACUUGAUAUUGAUGUGCACCUGGAAGAAAUUGCUUACAAUCCCUCUUGUGAUUAUUUUACGGGAGCAGAUCUUUCAGCUCUAGUGCGAGAAGCUUCUGUUUGUGCCCUAAAACAGCAAAUGACAGUGUUCAGUCCUGCAAACAAGAACAGUAAGGAAGGAGAAAUAGCAUAUUAUAACUUAAGGCAGAUUUUCUUAAUCACCAGAUGUGAACCUUUGGAUGUUUUCAUUAUUUUAUUUGAGAGUUCCAACAAAAACUGCAGGAUUGUUAUACGAUUGUUCUAAACUAAAGACACACUAAAAACAGUGAAAGGAAGUUGUUAGUUAAAGGUUUGGUAGGCAUGAAAAUUUUAGUAUUUCUUUGUCUACACUGGGCUGUCUAGCACUAUGAUUUUUUUUAAAAAAAAAUCUGUAAAUAUGAAGGAAAAAGGGGACAAAAUAUCCAAAAUACUGAAAUGUAUAUUGGUUGAUCCUGACAGCACUGAUCCUCUGUAAAAAGUGGUAAAAUGAAGGAUGCCGUUGCAAGACUAAGAAGCUAGUGUUCGAGGCAGUCUAGAAAAGAGUUGAGCAUGAAACAUUGGACAGCCUUCGCCGGUCAAAAUAGUAGACAGUUAGGAACUUAAUUGAACUAAGGAUAUGAUUUAGAAUAAAAUACACUGAUAGGUAGAACCCCCUUUGGUGCAAGAAAAAAAUGCAGAAAUGUAGCUGAAAUUUCAUUUGGCAUGUAAGAGUUGCUCUUGCUAAAUAGAAACUUGAACAAGCAGUAUAAUUCAAGCAAACUUUUCCAUUUCUGUCUCUUUUCCACCAAUCAUUAAUAAACAACUCUGUGGUAAUGUUUACUUGAAGACUUUGUGAAAUAAGCCUGUGAUGUAUGACCACCAGUAUAAUGUCCUGUUUUGUUUGCGGACACUGUAGAGCAACAAAGAACCAAGAGGUUAUAGAAACUAAAUUACUCUCACCUAAAUAUUUUCAAGCAGUUUCCUCUCAAUAUGAUCUAUAUAUAAGUAAUUUGGAUUCAUUUCUAAACAAUAUGACAUCUGUUUUCAGAUUUAAGAUUAAAGACAAGUCAUGAAAUGAAGAGGAUUUUUUUAUUAAUGCCAACAGAUCAAAGAUUUAUUUCCACAAUUAAUAUUCUAUAGUAAUGGAAUCUCUUUAAAGGUUAGGUUACCUUUUAGCUGAUGGUGAUAUUAAAAUCCUGUGGUGAGUUAUUUAUGAAUUACAUCCUUAUUUUUAAUGGGGGCUCUCUGAGGAAGGAGAAAGAGCACAUGUUAACUUCACUAUGUUUCAGUGCUGUCUUAAUAUAUAAAUUAGGGCAAAGUCUCGGUCACUUUUGAGUAGAUACCUAUCUCAUUGAAUAACCUGUGGAAAAUAGUCGUUCCUGAACAUAGAUGCUGUUUCUUUCCAGUUCCUAUAGUUCAUGACGUAAUAUAACUCAGCUCUUGGCAGGGUGCUUGAAAUAAUUGUGGAAUUCAAGCUUCUCACUUCUUUAAGCAGAAGCACGGUAUAAUAAUGGUUACUGAAUUAGUUGUGUGUGAAAUUCUCAAACAUCUUGAUUUUUGCCUUCUCUUGAUAAAUCUGAUAAACAGAAUUGACUAAGGGAUGUUUUCCCAUUGAAUUAGACCUGAGGACGCACUCUGUUUUUUCAAUAACUUCAUAACUCUAGCAAAUCAGCAUGGAAAUGCAUGGAAAAUAAGUAGAGAGAAUAAGUAGUUCUGUGGCAAAUCAUCUAAUUAAUAAAGAACUUCUUGUUUCUCUUUCCAUCUUUAAUAAUUUGUUGAUCAAUCUGCAUUUUAUUUUAUCAGAGUUAUCCUUUUCUGCAAUUAUAGUGUUUAUUCUACUAUAGUCUUCACAGGGGAAAUUAGAGUUGGCAAAAAACAUUUUGAAGAAGCUUUUAAGAAAGUGAAAUCCUCUAUAACUUCAAAGGACCAAAUAAUGUAUGAAGAGCUGCGCC